GAAUCUUCGGCAAUGGGCGAAAGCCUGACCGAGCGACGCCGCGUGGAGGAUGAAGGCCUUCGGGUCGUAAACUCCUAAAAGAGGGACGAUAGUGACGGUACCUCUUGAAAAGCACCGGCUAACUCCGUGCCAGCAGCCGCGGUAAUACGGAGGGUGCAAGCGUUAUCCGGAAUCACUGGGCGUAAAGGGCGCGUAGGCGGUCUGUUAAGUCCGAUGUUAAAGGCUGGGGCUCAACCCCAGUAAAGCGUUGGAUACUGGCAGGCUAGACGGUUGGAGAGGCGAGUGGAAUUACCAGUGUAGCGGUGAAAUGCGUAGAUACUGGUAGGAACACCCAUGGCGAAGGCAGCUCGCUGGACAACCCGUGACGCUGAGGCGCGAAAGUGUGGGGAGCAAACCG
rnacentral:rRNA from 1 species